AAAAAGUCUCCUUUUUGAAAAUGUUCGGACAUUUCAAUUUUUUUUGAAAUUUUCAAAAUGUUCUAGUUUUCAAAAAAUGUUCCCAUUCUCAUGUUGUGUUCGGAAUUUCAAAAAUUGUUUUUUCUAAAAAUUCAUAAUUUCAAAAAAUGUUGUACAAAUUAUAAAACUAUCACGUUUUUCAUUAAUUGUUGGUUUCCAAAGAAAAGGUUAUAGUUUACACCAAAUGUCGAGAUUUUCAAAAGUGCGCAUUUUUUUAUAAGAAUGUAUGAAAUUCCAAAAAUAAUGGGGGUUUUAAGAAAUUUUAAAUUUUUGUAAACGUUCAAAAGUUUUUAAAAUAUGUUCACAUUAAUCAAUGCUUCUUCAAUUUCCAAAGAAAUUUUUCAAAAAUUAAAAAAUGACGCUACAGUGGGUUGAGUCAGUGCCUACUCUCCCGCUCAUUGAUGUCCAGUCUUAUCGUCAAUGGGCCGUGCCUGUCAGGCGCGCGUUGUGCGAAGGGGAGGUUGUUAGCCGCAAGGAGGAGCAUACAUGGAGUCCUGAGAAUUGGGAAGCUCCGCCUAACGAAAUUUGCCCUAGCCGAGCCAACGCGAUAUUUUUACUAUUCUAAUAAAGACAGUUUCGGGGAAUCUAAUCUAUUUAAAAAAUCAAAAUCGACUUAAUAUUGGAGAAAUAUUUGUGUAUAGAAAAAUGAAAAAAAUGCUCAAGUACCUCGAUAUAAAAUGUUCAUGUAUAUGACAAUAUAUCGUCAACUUAUAUUUAUAAAAUGGUCAUCCCAUAAUUAAUCUAUGUUCAUGCGAAAAAAGUAAAAAAAUGUACAUGUAAAUUGUUGAUAUACUUCAGAACAGUUUCUUAUAUACAUUUAAAAAGCAAGUCCAAUGUUAAGUGGAUGAGUCUUGGUGAAUUUUAAAUUUUGUUCUCUUAUACCAAGACAGAAAUUAAUAAUUAUACAGAUAAGGCAUCAUAUAUAUAGGAAUUAUUGAUACUAUACCAAUUGUUAUCAAUGCCUUAAAUAUAAUAUUAACAUGCACCAGUUUUUUGCUACCAAUUAUAAUAGGUCAAUUCUACCCCUCGGAAACAAUAAGCGAUCAAUUCUAGAUGGGGCAUUAAAGUAACUUGCACGAUAUGACAAAGCAUCAAUUUGAAAAAAAAAACUUUAGAAAGAACCAUGAAUCUUUAGAAGUGAAACUAAAAUUGGACAUUCCGACAAGCCAUAACUCCAAGCAUUAAUAUUUUCUUCAACUUCACGAAUCAAUGUGGAGAAGCUUUCACUAUAUAUAUAUGAACCAUUCAUGGAGCAAGCAUUUCACAGUCAUACACUCAUCAACUCCACUUACAAGAGUACCACCCAUUAAUAGCCUCUGUUCCCCGGUGAUGAUGACCAAGUACAUGAGGAACAAUGUGCAAGGACUUGUGCUACUUUCUUUUCUUCUUGUGGUGUGUUUGACUUGUCUUGGAGGCACAUAUGGCGAAAUCAUAAAUGACAAGGGGAGCAACAUGAUGAGGAAAGUAAGCCAUGUAACGAGACCCCCUUGUUAUAAAGAUGGGCACCAACUCCCAGGAGGGAAUUCUGCUGUAAAAUAGAUAACUUGUGCUGGCCAAAUCUCGGAGAAUGCUUCAUCAACUGUCCCUGCAAGAUUAAUUGCACACCAGCAGCAGCAGCAACACAAUAGUUUCGUUAUCACCCCUAUUUUGGGUGGAUAAAUCCCAACCUUGUGGUUCUCAAAAUAAUUAUAUGCUGAUGAGAUCAUAAAUUUUGUAUGUUUUAGAAAUCAACUAUGUUAUUUUAAUAUUCAAUAA